rnacentral:lncRNA from 1 species
GCCUCUGGACUAUUUCCUGGGUCCAGCCAUCUGAUUUGUUCACUAAACAGAGAGAGAUGCUUUAUUUACUCGACCACUUAAUUUUGCGAUCCUUCAAGCCCUGACCAUGAGCCUGCCAUAAUGAAAACUCCCCACUCUCCAAGGUCCCUGGAAUGGCACAAGUGGGCCACGCGUGAUGCGUCUUUAAAUGGUUUGUAGACAGAACUCUCCAGGGAGCAUUACGGUGCACUCAGUAUUAAAAUGGAUUUUAAAAUUUACAACAUUUAUGCAAAACAUUGAACAUAAUUCACAUGUAUCUCCUUAUGCUCCAUUGCUUCGGUGGUUAUCAGGCUGGGAAGACAGGAUCUGCCUUUUAAUUGGCCAUUUCCAGAUUUCUAGUGAGAUUCCCACGUCCACCAGCUACACCAGGAGCACGCAGCCCAAACAAAGCCCCGGGGUCCAUCUUCAGGAUAGUUCACGUGGGAGCAGUGAUGUAUGAGCAGCCAUGGGAGCUGGGCGUGCUCCCCACCGAUUACCUGGUGCACCGAAAAUCUGCCGACAGCCACAGCCAUGCACCUGCAGGGAUACCUGCACUCAUGCACACGUCCCCCAGGCCAGAGAGCGAUGUGAAGACCUAAGGUGCCCCGGACGGAGGGUCCACGAGCGCUCUGGGGCUGACUUCUCCUCCUGGCGCUGUCACCUUCGGAUGCCACCGCGAAUCUGUUCUGCGCAUUACCCAGUUACUCACUGCCUGUCUCCUACCCCAGCUUCACGGCUGCUUGGCCCACAGUCCCUCCUGCAUGAAAUCCUCUUUUAGCAGAAACGGCAUUCUUCCCGAAGGGUGUUAUUUCCCUCGUAAUCUCAGCAUCGGCCAGGCUGUGCUGGAGGUCACUCUCUGGGAGGCGCUCUGAGAGGUCCAGGGCAGGAAAGCGGGUGUGACGUUCUCAUCUCUUCCAAACCUGUCUCUGUUCGCGGUCCGUUUCAUCUGCCCCACGGGGCCCUUCCCACUCCUCGCUUCCUGUUCACCCUUCCCCUCAGUGGACGCAGCCUGUGCACUUUCUCGCUUGUGCUGGGCACACGCAUGGACCAUCUGUGGCUGUCCUGCUGACGCCCUCGCUUACGCACCGUGGCAAGUCAUGAGCCGCCAUGAAGACUUUGAACCUCCUCUCCUGGAGAGGUGGGGUCUGUCCCCCC